rnacentral:rRNA from 1 species
GAUUCAGCGGCGGACGGGUGAGUAAUGCCUAGGAAUCUGCCUGGUAGUGGGGGACAACGUCUCGAAAGGGACGCUAAUACCGCAUACGUCCUACGGGAGAAAGCAGGGGACCUUCGGGCCUUGCGCUAUCAGAUGAGCCUAGGUCGGAUUAGCUAGUUGGUGAGGUAAUGGCUCACCAAGGCGACGAUCCGUAACUGGUCUGAGAGGAUGAUCAGUCACACUGGAACUGAGACACGGUCCAGACUCCUACGGGAGGCAGCAGUGGGGAAUAUUGGACAAUGGGCGAAAGCCUGAUCCAGCCAUGCCGCGUGUGUGAAGAAGGUCUUCGGAUUGUAAAGCACUUUAAGUUGGGAGGAAGGGCAGUAAGCGAAUACCUUGCUGUUUUGACGUUACCGACAGAAUAAGCACCGGCUAACUCUGUGCCAGCAGCCGCGGUAAUACAGAGGGUGCAAGCGUUAAUCGGAAUUACUGGGCGUAAAGCGCGCGUAGGUGGUUUGUUAAGUUGAAUGUGAAAUCCCCGGGCUCAACCUGGGAACUGCAUCCAAAACUGGCAAGCUAGAGUAGGGCAGAGGGUGGUGGAAUUUCCUGUGUAGCGGUGAAAUGCGUAGAUAUAGGAAGGA